AAAUGUGCAUGGGCUCAGAAUGAGGCUGGUGCAAAGCACAGAGGGCUGAGUGUGCAAGGGAGACCAGGUCAGCCACACGAUUAUCACCGUUUGGAUGCCGUCCUCUGGUGCUGAGAUCACAGGAGUGCUCCUCCAAGCCUGGCUCUCUCUCACAGCUGUGCUCCUCCAAGCCGGGCUCUCUCUCACAGGAGUGCUCCAGUACUUUUCCUUCCUUUAUUUUUGAGAUGGGGUCUCAUGUAUCUCAGGCUAGCUUUAGACUUGCUAUAUGGCUGAGGCCGACUUUGAACAUGUGAUCCUCCUGUCUUGGCCUCCCAUGCACUGGGAAUCCUGGCAUGCAUCACCACACCCAGUGUUAGUGUCGCUGGGCAUUGAAGGCAAGGCGUCGUGCGUGUUGAGCAAGCCCUAUUCUGAUGCAGCCACAUGCCCUGGCCUCUAAACUUCUGUGAGACCAUUCCCAAGGUCUAGCCUGUAUCAGGCACCACCGUGGUUAGUCCCUUCCUCGUCAUGUUUGCUGUGAACAGAACUUCUGAGCAGCCUUUGGCACAGGAAUGGAAGAAUGUUCGGGACAUAGUAGGCCCAAAGCAGAGGAGCUGUGUCCUGAGCUGUGGGCCACUGUUUCUGAGCUAGGAAAGAAGUGCUGACAGGAGGAGACGCCACUUAGUGGUGAGGGAGACAAGAAUGACUCAUCAAGGGUGACGUUUAACUACUUGUGUCAGUGGCGGUGGGAGCAUGCCAUGGCACAUAGGAGGUCAGGUUGUGUAGAGUUGCAUUUCUCCCUCCUCCAUGUGGGUUCCAGGGAUUGCACUUGGGUCUUCAAGUUAGGCAGCAAGUGCCUUUACCCACUGAGCCAUGUAACUGGCUGAGAUGACAAAGUCCUAUGCAUCCAAUUCUAGUUUUAUUUGUGUCUAUGUGUGUCUGCAUGCCGCAUGUGUUUGGAUGCCCUCAAAGGCCAGAAGUGGACGUUGGAUCUCCUGGAGCUGUAGUUAUAGUUAUAGGUGUUUAUGAACCUGCCGUGGUCCUCUGAAAAAGCAGCAAGACUCUUAACUGCUGAGCCCUCUCUCCAGCCUCAAGAUGAUGAGAUCUUGAUGAGCAGAAACACUUAAGACUGAGUGACCAUGCAUCACUGCCCUAAGGAAUCUGGAAUGUAGAAAGAUCUUCCCGUACAAAGUUGCCUGGCUAACACAAGUGUCUACAAAAUACAAGUGUGUAAAUCAGAUAGUCCAUGUAAAAGGGUUUCCUAAUCGUCUGCUUAAAUGGUACCCCACAGCCUAGCAGGAGGAAGGCGUGUUCUCAGCUGCAUUGUGAGUUUGAGUGGGCCUGGAAGGUUAAAUGAGCUCUCCUGUCAUCCACAAGAUGUGGCAAUGUUUUUAGAAGAAUUGAAUUUGGAACUUAUUCAAUCAAUAUUUUAACCAGAUCAUUGCAAGUUCCUAUGCAGUGAACUGUCUCUAUUACUUGAAGAAUAUAAAAAUGUAUGCAAAUUAAAUGAGUCAUUUACUAGAAGUUGGAAAACCAUUGUGACAACUCUAACUCAACUAUCUGAGCUGAAGCCGGAGUUGUUCCCUCCAUGUACUUUUUAUCAUCUACACCAUAAGUUGCUCUUCCAUUAGCAGAACCAUGAGUAAAAACUAACAAUUAUAGGACUUUUUCUACAGGUUUGGGAAUGCAGAAGGAGUUGUUAGUAUGAAUUGUGACAAUCUGUGAGCUGGAACCUGAUCAUCAAUUCUCUUUGAAAAUGACAAAAGCAUUUUCCCGUGAAUCACUGUUUUGAAACAACCAAUCAACUUGUUGCUUGAUAUAAGGAACUUGGUUCUCUGCCAAAAUAUCUCCUAGAUUCUGUUAAACAUAUAAUCCCUGUCUCAAGAAACCAAAAGGAGGAACAAUUAUCAAAUAAGUGUUAAAUUUACAAUACCCAGCCCACUUGCCUUUGGCAAAUUCUGCAAAUGGUACACCAUAAUUGAUACUAUCAUGGUGAAUCCAAAGCUAUGUACCUAAUUUGC